UGGCGAACGGGUGAGUAAUAUAUCGGAACGUACCGAGUAAUGGGGGAUAACUAAUCGAAAGAUUAGCUAAUACCGCAUAUUCUCUGAGGAGGAAAGCAGGGGACCUUCGGGCCUUGCGUUAUUCGAGCGGCCGAUAUCUGAUUAGCUAGUUGGUGGGGUAAAGGCCUACCAAGGCGACGAUCAGUAGCGGGUCUGAGAGGAUGAUCCGCCACACUGGGACUGAGACACGGCCCAG
rnacentral:rRNA from 1 species